rnacentral:lncRNA from 1 species
UUUGUGAUAUCAAGAUGCAGCAGAGAACCAAAAUGUGCUGAAGUUAGUGCUAAAAAUUCCUACGGACCAUAAAGGUCAGGGGGAUGCCACCAAAGAGACAUAACCCAAUCACCCACAUGCCUGCAGUGGGCGGGGUCCAAGCUGAGGCCCAGCAGGGGGCUGUCGGGAAGCCAGAAAAAGGCCACCUCUUCCUCCCACCUGCUCAUUCCCUGGUCCACUCCUCAAGCCUCCAGACGUGCGGCUCGCCAGGGAGACUUGGCUGAAAUGGAAGGGGCUGCAAGUGUCCAGAGUCCUAGCCACGACGGACAGGCUGUCUGCCACAGGCAAGAUGGAAGAAUCUCCCCCAAGGAAGGCCAGUCUCUGAAAGAGAAGGGGGGCGAUCGCCAUUCCUCCGAAAGACGCAGAGAAAAAGGAAGCCUGGAGACCCGAGAGGGCUCUCGGAGCAAAGCAGUGCACACCAGGCACAAGCGGAGCAGAAGCCCCACUGGCUGUCCUGACAGGCGGGGCCUCCACAGCAAAGACAAGAAGAGGCAGGGACCACCCUCCCCAGCCCAGGCGAGAGCUAAGGACCGGUUUUUCUCCUCCAGAGCAGGACUUGACCGCAGAGGAGGUAGGUUUCUGGGCAGGCGCUUGGCACAGGUGGGGAUGUGGGUGCAGGGCCUGAGGGUCGCAACAAGCCCCCAGCAGGCAGGUAGGUGGGGAGACACGCUGCCCCUGGUGCGGGGCCCCUGGUGAGGGGCCCCUAAAGCCCUAACAGGCUGGGAGGAAGGCAUCCAGGUGUGGGCCCCGGUUCCCAGCAGAUCCUGGAAGGGGCCCCAGGGUCCGGUGCGGUGGAGAGUGGGUCGUGGGGGAAGGAGGGUUGGGAGUCUCCAUGGGGAAGAGGUUGUUGGUCGACCCUGACAAGGAAUCCCAGGGCGGGCGAGGGUGCAGCGCAUAUCACCUGAACUCCUCCCGCUCUGCCUCCCGCGCAGGUUCUGCCCACACGCCUCGGCGCCCGGCCCGGCCCGCCUCUCCCAAGCCUCGUCGCGGAUCCUCGUGUCCCGAAGCCCGCGUGCCCGCGGCGGCGCUCGCGUCCGAGCUCUGCAACCAGAUGGGCGCCCUGCAGGUGGCCCUGGGCGAGCUGCGGGCCCCGGGGGGCGCCUACCUGCCGGUGCCCUCCCGCUGCACGGAGCCCACGGCCUCGCAGCGCGCCUGGCUCGCCUGGCAGCUGGCGCACGCGGGCGCCGCCCUGCACUGGGCGCUGGCUGCGCUGGACUCCCUGCUCGCCGCGGGGCCCGUGCCCGCCCGCCCGCAGCCCUCCUGGCCCUGGGGGCCCUGGCCUUAGGGGCGCCAGCCCCACGCUCCCCGCCCAACUGCGGGCGGGUCCCUUCAGGCCUCUGAGCCAACCAGACUCUGCAUGUCGCCUUCCUCGCAGCAGCAUCUUGCACCCCGAGGUGAACGCGAGCUACCCCAACAGGGGACAGAAAUCCCCUUGUCCUUGGAGCCAGGUUCAGCCCGGGCCAGAGGAAGGCUCCUGCCUCAUCCCAGCUCAGGAACAUGGGUCCACGUUUCCAGAAGACAGCCUGCCAGGAGGAGCAUUCAGACAAAGACACUUCUUUUCUUCGGAGGCUCAGAUUGCCUGUCUUAGUGAUGUGAUAUGUGCCUUUUCACCAGUGUCCUCCUGUUGUCUUUGAAAAGUAGAAUGCCCUAUGCAUAUAUGGAUAGAUAGAUAGAUAGAUAGAUAGAUAGAUAGAUAGAUAGAUAGAUAGACAGACAGACAGAUAGAUAAAUAGAUAAUGAUAGAGAUUUAGUAAGAUGUGUAUAUUUUGUAUCUUGUUAGUGAUAUAGAGAUAUUACUGCCUUGGCCUCCACAGCAAGGAAUAAUUAUGUUUGGGGUUGUCACAAGAGAUAAGUUUUCUUCCAAGUGAAUGCUAGAACCUUCCUUUAGCAAGUCUCUAGGACAGAAGAACAAUCCAGAUUAUGUGAUGGAAUAUUGCAGUUUUUGGUUUUGAAAUUAAAGUCACGUGUUUCUUUAUUCUUGGAUCAUUAUGUUCUACAUGAGUCACAAUAAAAAUUUUUUUGAUAUUGCA